CCCUGAAGAGAUAAUGAUUUUGAAAUUAUUUCAAAGGAGACGUCUUUCAGUGGGAGUCCCUGACAAAGAAAGUCCCCAACAAUAAAAAAGUGAUGAAAUGAAAUUGAUAAUAUUGAAAAUCACCAGUGAGUGAGUCAACAUUGCUCCAUGCAGAGAAGACGGAAGUCUCACAAAAAUCUGCAGAUCUAGCUGUGAACUUCUUGUGCCGCACUGCUGGGAAGGAAGAGCGGAUCACAGACUGAAUAACCUGGAACUAGAAGCCACAGGGAAGCUCAUCACAGGAUCUGUCAAUCCGAGUAAUAUCCAUCAGUCACAGUUGUUCUUCAGGGUUAGCUCUCCAGACACGAAUGCAGGUAAAUGUUUAUGUGUUUUAACAAAAUGAUGCUGAGUUCAUUAAACAACUGAGAAAGGCAU